GAAGAAAGUAGCUGAAAGAGAAGAAUUAAAGGUUGAAAGCCAUGAAAGUAGACAAUGACCUUCUUGGUUCAAGGCAGAGAUGGCUGGAAAGAUAGAGAUGUUAAGAAACAAGAGAAAAAUGGUGAUUGCGUUGCUUGACAUCAUGAGUGGUUCUCGUACAAUGAUUGUUCAUCCUUUUGAGUUAAGAUGCACUUACAAUACAGAUUGUGAAAGGGACAAGCAGCAAAAGGAGGCGGACACCACAACCUCUUCUGAAAUAUAAUUAUAUAUGGUAAGCUCUCCAUGUCAGUUUAUAUGGGAUUAAAAAAGAAAAGGUGUUCGUAUCCUUGCCUCAUUCGGACAGAUCUUCCGGCCCGUGCAUGAACCUUCUCAUGGACCUAAUGGAUUAAUAACAGAGAAGGUAGCUCGACUUUGGUGUCCUUCACCCUCCUUUGUUGGUACAAUAUUUGCAAACUGCCUCCCUCGUUUGUUAAUCAGCUCUUCAUUUUAAUUAAUUUAUGGCCUUAAUGCUUCUGUGCUGACACCUAAUUCUCCUGUGGACAUUGCUUGUUUAAAUUUCCAUUAAUCUUGGGUGUAAAGCUUGCCUUACGUCUUCUUUAUUUCCCAUGCGUUAUCGUCAUGGUAAUAUUGCAUUGGGGAUGAAUAAAAAUUACAGUUUGCGCUGCAA